UCAAGAAAUAAGAUCUAUAAAUUAUAAAGUGUUAAAGUUAUUUUUUACAUGCAAUUAAAACAGAAAAACAUGUUUGAAAUUGUCAAAUUUAUUCAUGUUAUAUUUACUUUUCUUUCCAUAUUUCUUGUUUCAACGAACGUAAAUGCUGGUUAUAGAUGUAAUUCACAUGCAGCUUGUGUAGACAAGCACUGUUACGAGCCUAAAGUACCGAGGUGUAUCAAAACCCGUUGUAACUGUGUUGACUUGAGGUAUUGGCAAGAUGUGGAUGGAGCACAUUAUGAUGUUUUAGGUCAUGUACCAAAAUAAUUCAGUAUUUAAACUACUCCUAAGAUCGAUCCAUGUGUAUAUGAAUGUCAUGCUUCAAUAUUUUAUGGGUUGUACAUCAUUUAUUUAUUGCGUAUAAAAUAAUUUUUUUUCUUCUUUUUCCUAAUUCCAAGAAACUUGUAUUUUAGGAUUUGUACUUUAAAUCACUGGUAGUGAAAUGAAAUAAGACAGCAAAUAGUAUCUUAUCUUCUUCUCUUUUAA